rnacentral:lncRNA from 1 species
ACACUGUGCUAUAUAAAGUGGUGGGGGCCAGCAGGCUCUCAGUAUGAGGUUCACCGUGAGCCGCCACUCCCCACCAACAAAACCCUAAUCCAAUCUCGAGAGGGGCACAACCAUUCUUCACCGUCACUGCACUGCACCACCAUUCUUCACCGUCACACAUCAUUGUGUCACCCAUUCUCCAUCGACCAUUGCUGUCCUAGCAUAGAUCUCCUACCGAAGACAUGGCUGCCUCCGGAUCCAACAUUGCUACACCGCCUCCGAUGGUUUGCACCUCACUACCUCCUCCCUUACUCUGGAUCUCCUAGAUCUUGUACUAGUACACUUGUUUAUCUAAAAUAGUAAAGGUUGUACCCCGCUAAUCUACCUUAGAAUGAUCCUCCUACAGUCUAACAGACUCUACUCCACCAUCUCCAAGGUGAUCUGUAAUGACAUCAGCUGGUCGAACACCACUGCCUACUCUGCAUGGAUGGUGAUCAUGGGCUAAUUCCUUGACCACAAUCUUCAACAUACCAUCUAUGCCCAACA